UGUAUAAGUCAGGUAUGACAGGCUGAUCACCUUCAUUACCAGUUGGUCCAGAUAUAUAUUGUUCAUGUUUAAUACUAGUUCAGUCAAAGGUUUGUUCAUGCUAAUUCACAACUACAUUGUGAAUUAUAGCCAGCCUAUUAUUCAGACUCUUUCAAUCAUGAUAUAUCCUUAAAUUGUAUUUAAACUUGCUGGGAAACUUUCAUGCUCACCCUUGCUAUAUCAUGAUAAAAUAUUGCAGAUAAAGAC
rnacentral:lncRNA from 1 species